rnacentral:rRNA from 1 species
UACGUAGGGGGCAAGCGUUGUCCGGAAUCACUAGGCGUAAAGCGCAGGUAGGCGGUUUGAUAAGUCUGUUGUGAAAGCUCCCGGCUUAACUGGGGGAGGCCAACGGAAACUAUCAGGCUAGAGUGUGGUAGAGGUAGCUGGAAUUCCCGGUGUAGCGGUGAAAUGCGUAGAUAUCGGGAGGAAUACCUAUGGCGAAAGCAGGCUACUGGACCAUCACUGACGCUGAUCUGCGAAAGCUAGGGGAGCAAACAGG